AUUUCAAGUUCCUUAUCCACUCUGAGUGUUUGUCUGUUGAUCUCUUUUCUCUCGCUUUUCUCCCUCUCUUUUCUCUCUCUCUUUCUCUUUUCUCCCUCUCUUUCCUCUCUCUUUUCUCUCUCCUCUAUUUUCUCUCUUUUCUCUCUCUCUUUGUCUCUCUCUCUUUUAUCUCUCUCUCCUUCUCUCUCUAUUUUCUCUCUUAUUUCUGCUCUUCUCUGUUGAUUGCCGGGGUGUAGCGUGUGCUAGUAUGGCGUGAGUGUGUGCACUGCGUCUGCGCACUGCUGGAGGAGUGGAUUUCUGUGUCAUUCUUCCUCCUCUACCCCCUCCCACCCGUGCCUGCUUUCCGCCCUCCCACUCUCUCUCCCCUCUCUCUCUCUCUUUCCCUCUCGGCCUCCAUCUCCCUUCCUUCAUUCUCUCUCUCUCCCUCUCAAGUGCAAAUACAGUUCCUUGCCGUGUUGGAUGUGUGAUCAAGAAGUGUCUGGCUUUCGCGCUCCGCCGCACCUCCUAUUUCAUCAUCACUUGAGCUUUUCUCUCCUUCACUCUGCGCUUGCUAUCUCCUCUCCUCUAUCCUCGCUCCUCUCUUCUCCUCUCCUCUCCUCUCCUCUCUCCUCCUCUCUUCUCUCGCUCGCUCCCCUUCUCUCAGCUCCAGCUGCAUGCAAGGGAAAGACUCAGGCUCUGUGGGGAAGAAAAAGAAAAGAAGUCUGCUGCUAUUCCUCCAGUCAGGGCCUCCCCACAGCCCGCCCUUCCACAGAGGGACAUUUUUUACUGCUAGCUGGAUUUUAACCCUCUGCCUCCAACUAUCUGCACAGUGGCUCUGCAAAAACCUUGCAACAAGAUGCUUUUUGGGGGCCUUUUCAUAGUUUUGCGUGCUGAUUUUUGCGGCAGUUUGUAUCUUGGUGUUAUUUAUCCUAUUUGGGGUUAUUUUUUAUCUGCCUUGUUACCCAGAUAUGUGUAUUUUUACGUGAAAGAGUUUCUGUUGGCAUUUCUUUUAAAUAUCAUCUUAUUUUUGUCGUUGUUUGGUCGUUUUUGUCUCCCUCCACGUGAUGGGCCUUCUUCCUCCUGGAGAUGUAUGCGUACAGGCGCCAUUCUAUUUCUGCUAGGUUAAGCCCUCUUCUUCACGCUCUUCCUCUUAGUGACUGUCUGUGGGUGACAAGCAGGAGAACGUGUUCAGUCUCUGAGCAUGUUGCACAUCUGCGUGUUAAAGACAUGCUCUUCGUGAGCGCCAGAAACUCUCUCACCUAGAAGUACUGCACCUCCCUCUUCUUUCUUGCUUUCACUGUCUUUCCCUAUUGCACCCUCUCUUUCCCUCUCUUGUUCUCUCUCUCCCUCUCUUUUUUGAAGGCUGUGUUGGGCUGGAGCUCUUUCUGGGACAGGUGCCUCCCCGCCAAAAAUGACUGAUGCUGAUUAUUUUGUAUAUUUUCUUUCAGCGAAAACAUAAGAAGUGACCGUGGUUUUGUGGCACCGAUGCAUGAUUGAGUUAAGUAUUAUAACUGAUUUCAGGGGCUGAGACAGCUUGGGAAAUGAAUACUUACUGUAACUGCACUCAGUCUGGUAACGAACACAUUCGAGUUGGGAAGACAGAGGGAGGGAAUAAGGGAGGGAAGAAGGGAGGUAGGGAGGGAGUGGGGUUCCUUUUUCAGACUGCUGAAUUAUUCAUGUGGGCAGCCAAGGCUGUGAUUGGACUGGUUGUGCUAUUUGCAUGCAUCAGACAUGCUGUUUGUCUGUUUGCUAACAUUCCUCAUUCAAAGACUUGUUAACUAGCAGACGGCUUAGCUGGAGCCUUCCAGACAGCCUCAUGGCCUCCUUUUGUUGCAGGCACGCCAGGCCUGGGCCCAGCCCAUGGCGGCCAGGCGAGGUAGCAGCGGCCGUGGGCUGGGGCUCUGGGCUGGGUCUUGGCUGGGCUACGAGAGGGACUGCCUGGAGAGUCACUGGGCCUGCCUGCCUGGCUGCUUUACCACAGCUCCCAGGGACACAGAGGAUGAUGGCUUUCUGUUCUCCUCAACAGAUACUGUAUGUGGAUGCCGCAGGAAAAAAAAGAGAGGAAGAGAGAACCUGCUUAGAAUUUCAUCUCCAGAUUCGGAAUGUUUCGGAAUCGCCUCUACUGUGGAAUAUCUGUAGGCCGAUGGCACAGGACUUUUAGCCAAGCAGAGAACCCCAUGGUCAGACAUAUGGCCCUAGCAACAGAGCUACCUGACAAGCUGCUGUGAGCAUGAUGGAGGGAGGAGGAGGAGGGAGGAGGAGGGAGGAGGAGGGAGGCCAGUGUAUUCCCCUCUCUCUCCCUCUCUCUGUUCAUUAGGGAGCAGGUGAGAAACAUUAACAGCAGCAGCUGCACUGCUCUGCACAUGUGGUUGAGGGCUUGAGGUAGUCCACCCCACUUUCUGUCUGUCCACCAGUGGAAACUCACUCCUUUCUGGGAAAUGCCUAGUGUACACCAGUUACCAGGAAUGCAUUUAGUAAAGGUUUCCUGGACACACAUUAAGCCCAGUCCUGUAAUAAAUAGCUCUUUAAAUGGAGAUUCUCUAUUAAAUAUGCUUUUUACUUCUGGAAAACUGUCCCAUUGACACUUCAGACAAUCCCAGUAUCUCUGUUAGAGGUGGUUAGAGGUGAAUGAAUCUGUGAUUAUGUGUUUAUGUUUCAUUCUUUCUAAACAAAAGAAAGAACGUUCCACACUCUGCUCCCACACUCUGCUCCCACACUCUGCUCCCACACUCUGCUCCCAAAAAUGUAACGAGUAAACAUAACCAACGUUGCAGCACGCAGAGUUACAACAUUAAUACUUGAACCACGUUGCUUUUCACUAUGUCUUUAUCCUAACCAUUUUUCUGUGUUUACUGAGGUGUCGUUGAAGCUGUCUUCCUGACGUAGCUGACUGGGACCAUGGUACUGGAGGACCAGAGUAGACUAACGGGUCUAUGACUGUACUUUGGGGUGAGGUAGUAGGUUGUAUAGUUUUAGGGUCAUACCCUUCCUGUCAGAUAACUAUACAACUUACUGUCUUUCCUGAGGUGGCUGUAAUAUCAUCCAUCAUCUCUGCAGAGCUCUCGUCACUUGGACCUCGAUAGGAAUACGUAUUAUGUACUAAUUCAAGUUUAUAACAUGUUUGUAAUGUCAUUUAUAUUGUAUCUAUGCAUCAUUUGGUUCUGUUCUGGCUCUUUGCAUACUAUAUUUAUUAUUUUGCCGUGAAAUUGCUCUGCCUCUAUGAUGUUCGCACGGGGUGAGGUAGUAGGUUGUGUGGUUUCAGGGUAGUGAUUUUGCCCCAUCAGGAGAUAACUAUACAAUUUACUGCCUUCCCUGAAGGGCAGCAAGACUUCACCAGACAACAGCAGAGGCCGCCAUUGGCACAACAUGAUAAUCUAGCAUCGAAAAUAGGUAUUCAUUUAGGUAUCUAGGUAUAAAAUAGUUAUCUAUCUGUUAAUCAGCUCCAGAGGACACAGGAGCAUUUCAGGUAAAGUCUACUGACAAUCUAUGAUUACCAUGUAGCUAACAUGUUAUUGGAUAACUUUGAAAUUGUAUGUUUUCAAAUGAGUAAUAAAAAUUAUUAUUUUAUAAA